UCCUAUCAAGAUAUAGAACUUUUGGAAGUUCCCAAUGUGGCUCAGUGGUAAUGAGCCUGACUAGUAACCAUGAGAAUGUGGGUUUGAUCCCUGGCCUUGAUCAGUGGGUUAAGGAUCCAGUGUUGCCGUGAGCUGUGUGUAGGUCGCAGAUGAGGCUCAGAUCCUGCAUUGCUAUGGCUGUGUCCAAUUUGACCCCUAGGCUGGGAAAUUCCAUGUGCUGCAGGUAUGGCCCUAAAAAGAAAAAAAAAAAAGAUAUAGAACUUUACCGUCAUCUCUAAGAGUUUACUUGUUAAUUCCUACCCCCAUGCACUCAAGAGAAAACCAUUAUUCUGAUUUUUUUCACCAUAGAUUAGUUAUGACUGUUCAACGAUUUCCUUUAAAUAGAAUAAGGCAAGUGUGCAUUUGUGAAAGGCUUCUUUCAAUAAGUAUAAUCUUGCCAAUAUCUUUUUUAGGAUAUUUGCAAUUAUGUUCAUGAGUGAGAUGUAAAUUUUCUUUCUUGAACUGUCCUUUUUCUGGUUUUAGUAUAAAUAUUAUUCCUUCUCUUCCCACUUGGUCUCUUCCUUUUGCCCAAUGGCUAAUACAAUGACUUUUACAUAGUUAUUAUGGAAAAAUAUAUGAAUAAAUAUGGCUAUAAUAAACUAUUUCAUAGUUGCUUUGAUUGAGCAAGCUCAAAAGUCCUUAUUAAACUGUAUGGCUAUUCAGACAAGGAUGCCAAUACCAUGAAAUUGAACACUGGGAAGUUAGUCUUGACCAGAUCUCAAUGGCAAACUUGUUAAUUAUAAUAAAAUUAUAAUUAUAAUUUUAGUAAUAAUAAGCAAGCCAUUAUUAUUAUUUAAUAAGCAGCUUACACUACUAGUUUUAACCCAAUAUUCAUCCAUUGUUAACAUAUUUUUUUUUUCUUUUAAGGGCUGCACCUGUGACAUAUGGAAGUUACCAGGCUAGGGGUCAGAUUGGAGCUGCAGCUGCUAGCCUACACCACAGCAUAGCAACACCAGAUCCAAGCUGUGUCUGCAACCUACACUGAAGCUUGCAGCAACGCUGGAUCCUUUAACCCACUGAGCAAAGCCAGGGAUCUAAUCCUCAUCCUCGUGGAUACUAGCCAGGUUCUUAACCCACUGACCGCAAUGGGAACUCCCCAUUAUUAACAUCUUUAAAGCAGUGACCACUAUGAAGUGCACUUUAACAUUGUAACCAGGACAAAACAGGUAUACAUAUUCAGAUCAAGGAUAUCUCCCUCACAAAAAAGAGAAAAAAGUCUUUAACCAUGUGUAUUGAUGGGUGUUAACUGGACAUUGUGGUGAUCAUUUCACAAUAUAUACAAAUGUUGAAUCAUGGUGUUGUACAUCUGAAAUUAAUAUAAUAUGUCAGUUUUACCUUAAAAAAGAAAAAGCUCCCAUAUUGUCCCACCCCUGCUGGUAACUCCUGAGACUGUAAACCAUUACACAUAGAAAAUGUCAGGCAGAAGUCACAAGUGGAUUCUUUGGCAGUCAAUACCCUUAUUCUACAAACCUCAUGCAAAUAUUUAUUUGAUGUCUUACCCCUUCCUGACAUUUAAGUUAAUUCGGGUUGCUGUAAUAAAAUACCAUAAACUUGAUGGCUUAUAAACAACAGAAAUUUAAUUUUCACAGUUCUGGAGGCUAGAAUUCUGAAAUCAGUGGGCCAGCAUGGUCAGGUUCUGGUGAGAGCCCUCUUCUGGGUUGUAGACUACCAAUUUCUUGUCCCAUCCUCACAUGCUGGAGAGCACAUGGGAAGCAAGCUCUCGUGACUCUGCUAAGGGCACUAAUUUCAUGCAUGAGGUCUCCAUCCUAAUUACUUCCUAAAGGCCCUGCCUCUUAAUACCAUCAUAGGGGUUGGGGUUUCAGUGCAUGGAUUUGGGGAGAAUACAAACAUUCAGUCCAUAACAGCAUCCAUUACUUCCCUGUCUGCCCAAAGGAAAGCAGGUGGUGCAUAUAUUGCAGACAGGCUCACAAAUAUUUCUUGAGUGCCAACUAUUACCAGCUAUAAGAAACAUUUUGGAGUUUCCAUUAUGUCUCAGCAGGUUAAGAACUCAGUGCAGUCUCCAUGGGAAUGCAGGUUUGAUCCCUGGCCUCGCUCACUGGGUUAAGGAUCUGGCAUUGCCAUAAACUGUGGCAUAGGUCACAGAUGUGGCUUGGAUCUGGCAUUGCUGUGGCUGUGGUGUAAGCCUGCAGAUGCAGCUCCAAUUUGACCCCUAGUCUGGGAAUAUCCAUAUGCCACAGGUGCAGCAACUGUUAGAGAAAGAAAGAAAGGGAGGGAGGGAGGAAGGAAAAAAGGAAGGAAGGAAGGAAGGAGGAAAGAAAGAAUGAAGGAAGGAAAGACAGACAGGAAGAAAGAAAGAAAGAAAGAAAGAAAGAAAGAAAGAAAGAAAGAAAGAAAGAAAGAAAGAAAGAAAGAAAGAAAAAGAAAGAAACAUUUCCUUCCCUGGCAAUUCAUGAAGGCAUCGAUAUAAAAAGCAACAUAGGAUGAAUAGCAGUAGAAUAAUAUCAGCAAAAGAUUAAAGAAGGGAGACACUGGCAGGAGAACAUCAUCAAAGACAGAAACUCUUGGUGGAGGGGAACUUGGAGCUGAGAUUUUAGAAAGUAUUUAAGUUUUGUGGUACACACAAGAUUACAAGGAACACACAGAUUACAGAGUGCUGUCAUACACAGACCUGUGAGGUAGGUCUCAUUAUUGUACUAGUGGCUUCCACCUUGCUACCUAAUUCACAGACUGAAAAAAUGGAAUGAACUAGAUUCUGUCCUGGGUGUUAGGAAUGGAAGAAGAUAAGUGACUGCCAAAUGAACUGAGUGUGAAAAUAUCUUCUUGAUCUGGAUACCAAUUACCUGGGUAUGUUUACUUUGUGAAAAUUCAUUCAGCUAUAUACCCAUAUUUCUUGGACAUAUUUCUACACAUGUUACAUUUUAAUUUAUAAUUUUACUUUUUAAAUUCUUCAUUCAAUUUGCCUAUUAGAAAAUCAUCUUUACAUCCCUUGAAGAGUUAAAGAGGUUGGUAAUGCACAUUUUGAAAUAAAUUGAUUUAUCAUUAUGUUAACCAGGAGUUCCUGUUGUGGCUCAGUGGGUUAAGAACCUUACAUUGUGUCCAUGAGGAUACAGGUUUGAUCCCAGGCCUUGCUUAGUGCGUUAAGGAUCCAGCAUUGCCACAAGCUGUGAUAUAGGUCACAGAUGCUGCUCAGAUCUGGUGUUUCUGUGGCAAUGGCAUAGGCUGGCAGCUGCAGCUCCGAUUUGACCCCUAGCCCAGGAUCUUCCAUAUGCUGCAGAUGAGGCUGAAAAAAGAAAAAAAAAAANAA
rnacentral:lncRNA from 1 species